rnacentral:lncRNA from 1 species
UUUUAGGUUCCAAAUUGUAUAAUUUUUUGAGAUCAUUUGCUUAUUAGUUAAGUAUUCUGAAAAUUAACUAAGUUUUUGACUGAUAUAAGAUAAAUUUGAAAUUAUCUGAUUACUGGACAAAUAAUAUUAAGAAGUUACAAAAUUAGAGUGAUAGAAAGUUUACUUAAUUUAAAUCAUGUUUAAUGAUACCAAUAAUCAAGUCGAAUAUCCCAACGUUAAAAUAUUGUGAAAGUGAACAUAUCUAUCUUUAUCACUUAUUACUGAUGUAUAAACAAUGAAAUAAUAUUAAAACUAUAGAUCCGGUAUAAUAAACAAAAUUGCUGACCAAAUCCAUCAAAAAUAAUAUAUUGACAGAGUUAAUUUUAUUACGAACAAACAAAAUUUAUUGACUAUAAUCAAUGU